GAAAACUACGUGCAAUUCAUGGAAAGGACUUACUGCCUCAUUGGCAUACUUUUUACUCUCAUUCUUUUACCAGCGAGUCGCGCAGUAGAUCUUCAAUAUGGCGGAAUUCGAAGGCUAACAAGGCCAAUCGCAACGAUAGUAAUGACAGCGAUUAGAGACCUCAUCCAAAAAUCCACAAGAUCGCCUUGGCUAUCAAUGGGCUAUAGCUUCACACGGAGCAUUCCUGUCGGAGGAGGAUACUUCGUCCAUAUAAGGAUUUGGAUCACUGUUCCUCUUCGCAAUGGGCUCACAGCCUUCGCUCCAUCGUCUUUCCAAGAAUCGACGCUGGAAAUUCGGCAACAGCUCUUUGAUAUUCUCCGCUACGUUUGGGAGUUUGUGGUCGGCAUGCGCAUGGAAUUUAUGAGCGCCGUGGAGGGAAUCUAUGGAAUCGAGUACCACCGCACCACAAAUCCCCGCGACGAGCUGCUUAGUGUUAAUCACGCCGCUUAUAAUCGCUUCCAAAGCGUGGUUGGCAGUGGCAGCGAGAGCGUCUCUAAGACCAACUUAGUGAGUAACACGCCGUUUAAGUACCUGCGCGAUUCGCUAAUCUCCACCAGCCUUCGCUAUAAGCUGGAGAUGCGAGGCGGCUGUUACCUCGUGUUGUACGACACAGCUUUUCACGACGAUAUUUGGACCAGUGGCACGUACGGACUUGGCUAUGGAUGCUUUGUGGAGCUCGAGCCCAGCCCUAACCUGGCGAUCUAUGACGAAGGUGGGAAGCUCGUGAGGUAUCUCUACGAAUCUGGCUGUGACAACUGCGAUCGAUCGUCGGCGCUGGUCGUCCAGGACGAUGGGAAUGUGGUGCUCUACCUGACCGACACUGGCGAGGCGAUCUGGGCUACCGGGACGAAUCGCUGAGCCAGGAAAUGGAUUUUCUGUGAGAACAUCCGAGCAAUCCAGAUUCUCCUGUGCAAAAAUUCGAGCGCAUUGUUUCCCUCUCUCAAAUGUUCACGCUGGGAUCCUCUAGACGUGGCUCCCGGCGGGCGGCUCUCCGGAUUUCCUCCGCCACGGCCCUGUAAUCGGCGGCCUGUGCGACGAUCACAGCUGUGAGAUCGAUCUGGGACGCAAUCUACGUACUGUGUUGAGGCCGAAUGCUCCGCCCAGGAGCCCUAGGAACCCACAAGCUCCAGCUCCCACGUAGAGCGUCGCGAUCCCCAGGGCCUUGCUCGCGAUCGCCGCUCCGGAUCCAUGCGCGCCGGAAUGCUUGAGCUUCCUGGCAACCAACAGCUGUGAAAUCGACAAUCCCGAGUAGAUUGCCGGCAAACAGCACGUAUCGGCGAUCUUCGCCAUAGCCAGAGCUUUAGGGUUUAGCGAAGACUUUAUUGACUUUGAUUGACUUUGCAUUGAAAGAAAACUAUUAGUAAAA
rnacentral:lncRNA from 1 species